rnacentral:rRNA from 1 species
AGCGAACGCUGGCGGCGGGCCUAACACAUGCAAGUCGAGCGCCCCGCAAGGGGAGCGGCAGACGGGAGAGUAACACGUGGGAACGUACCCUUCAGUUCGGAACAACCCAGGGAAACUUGGGCUAAUACCGAAUACGUCCGUAAGGAGAAAGAUUUAUCGCUGAAGGAUCGGCCCGCGUCUGAUUAGCUAGUUGGGGAGGUAACGGCUCACCAAGGCGACGAUCAGUAGCUGGUCUGAGAGGAUGAUCAGCCUCACUGGGACUGAGACACGGCCCAGACUCCUACGGGAGGCAGCAGUGGGGAAUAUUGGACAAUGGGCGCAAGCCUGAUCCAGCCAUGCCGCGUGGAUGAUGAAGGCCCUAGGGUUGUAAAGUCCUUUCGGCGGGGAAGAUAAUGACGGUACCCGCAGAAGAAGCCCCGGCUAACUUCGUGCCAGCAGCCGCCGUAACAC